rnacentral:tRNA from 1 species
CAGGGGCAGAAGGACUUGAACCCUCGACAUUUGGUUUUGGAGACCAACGUUCUACCAACUGAACUAUACCCCU